AGGACGAGCGCUGGCGGCGUGCUUAACACAUGCAAGUCGAACGAGGCCCUGCCUUCGGGCAGGUGACCUAGUGGCGAACGGGUGAGUAACACGUGGGCAACCUACCCUCAGCUCUGGGGUAACCCCGGGAAACCGGAGCUAAUACCGGAUACGACCUGGAACGACAUCGUUCCUGGUGGAAAGUUUUUCGGCUGAGGAUGGGCCCGCGGCCUAUCAGCUUGUUGGUGGGGUAAUGGCCUACCAAGGCGACGACGGGUA
rnacentral:rRNA from 1 species